CCUACGGGAGGCAGCAGUGGGGAAUCUUGCGCAAUGGGCGAAGGCCUGACGCAGCAACGCCGCGUGCGGGAAGAAGGCCCUAGGGUUGUAAACCGCUUUCAGUAGGAACGAAAAUGACGGUACCUGCAGAAGAAGGUGCGGCCAACUACGUGCCAGCAGCCGCGGUGACACGUAGGCACCAAGCGUUGUCCGGAUUUAUUGGGCGUAAAGAGCUCGUAGGCGGUUCAGUAAGUCGGGUGUGAAAACUCUGGGCUUAACCCAGAGCCGCCACUCGAUACUGCUGUGACUUGAGUUCGGUAGGGGAGCAGGGAAUUCCUAGUGUAGCGGUGAAAUGCGCAGAUAUUAGGAGGAACACCGGUGGCGAAGGCGCUGCUCUGGGCCGAUACUGACGCUGAGGAGCGAAAGCGUGGGUAGCAAACAGGAUUAGAUACCCUGGUAGUCCACGCCGUAAACGUUGGGCACUAGGUGUGGGUUCCAACCAACGGAAUCCGCGCCGUCGCUAACGCAUUAAGUGCCCCGCCUGGGGAGUACGGCGGCAACGCUAAAACUCAAAGGAAUUGACGG
rnacentral:rRNA from 1 species